rnacentral:rRNA from 1 species
AGUGAACGCUGGCGGUAGGCCUAACACAUGCGAGUCGAACGGCAGCACAGUAAGAGCUUGCUCUUACGGGUGGCGAGUGGCGGACGGGUGAGGAAUACAUCGGAAUCUACUUUUUCGUGGGGGAUAACGUAGGGAAACUUACGCUAAUACCGCAUACGACCUACGGGUGAAAGCAGGGGAUCUUCGGACCUUGCGCGAUUGAAUGAGCCGAUGUCGGAUUAGCUAGUUGGCGGGGUAAAGGCCCACCAAGGCGACGAUCCGUAGCUGGUCUGAGAGGAUGAUUAGCCACACUGGAACUGAGACACGGUCCAGACUCCUACGGGAGGCAGCAGUGGGGAAUAUUGGACAAUGGGCGCAAGCCUGAUCCAGCCAUACCGCGUGGGUGAAGAAGGCCUUCGGGUUGUAAAGCCCUUUUGUUGGGAAAGAAAAGCAGCAGGUUAAUACCCCGCUGUUCUGACGGUACCCAAAGAAUAAGCACCGGCUAACUUCGUG